AUGACAAAAGAUCUUCUAGUCGAGAGAGAAACUGAUACAGUUGUGGAAGACCCGGACACUAUUCCAAUGAGUGUACGGCUCCCUACAAGAGAAGAGAAGAUUCUCCAAAAAGAAGAAGCAAAGAAUCACCACCAAGAGAGAGAAGGAGUAGAGAUGAUCGUUAUGAACGAAGAUACUCACGGAGAAGCAAGGAUUCGGAAAGGAAGGAAAAAUCAUCAAGGAGCUACACAAAACGAAGACAUCAAGCUCAUGUUGGUGAAUGGGUAUCCGGCUCCGACUCCGACAGCCACUCCGAGAGAAGUUAUCACUCCGACUCCGAAGAUACUCAAGAUGAAGGUGUUGCCGGUCUAG
rnacentral:rRNA from 1 species